rnacentral:rRNA from 1 species
AUGGCGAGCCACAGCCAGCCGCCGGCGCAGGAGUUCACCAGGGCCAUCGCCGACGCGGCCGCCGCCGGUGAGGAGCAGGAGCUAGUACCCAGUCCCAGUGCGGGGCACGGCGCCGCAUCACAGCCACAGAGACAGUGGGUCACGCCGCCGGCACCGCCGGCCGCCGCAGUUGUUGAUGUCGCGGAGGGGAGCGUACCUCCAGUGCAGCAAUUUGCUCCAACAACCUCAAUCUCUAAGCCUAAGGCAGUACAUAAUUCAAAACUCAAGAGGAAGAGCAUCGCCAUUGAUUUGAAAACUUUAUGGAGUAGAGCUGGGAAGAAAUCUAGAGCAUGUGCAGGGGCUCUAGUGAACACAAGUCCAAUUGCAGAACAUGUUCAGGUUGAGCAGCAAGUGCAGGUGCAGAACACUUCCCCAUCGAAUCAACUUCAUAGCACUAUGAGCUCCCCUUCAGUUCAAAAUCAGCAGCAGCUACAGAUUGUUGGUGCCACGAACACAAGUCCAAUUGCAGAACCUGAGAUUGAGCACGAAGCAAGCGAAGAAUCUGAAAAUAUAGAGGAAGAGAAUGACACUGAAGAUGCAGUUUACGAUGUUCAGCUGCUUGAACCUGAUCCUGGGAAGAGGAUUGCUAUUGCAGAUUAUGAUGUUAAUGACCAGAACAGGAUUAGAAGAGGAUACAUUGCAAAAGGGGCUUGUCGACCAAAAAAGUAUGCUUUUCCACAACACCCUGUUGGAGGUAUGCGUCGAUUUGUAGCUAAAUGGUUCAAGUCUUAUAAAUGGCUUGAGUAUAGUAAAGAGCUAGAUGCUGCUUUCUGCUUUGUAUGUUAUCUUUUCAAGGAUAAUUCACAUGUUGGUGGGGAUUGCUUUGUGAAUGGAGGAUUUAGAAAUUGGAAUCACAAGGCUAGUUUUGGGAAACAUGUUGGUGGGAUCAAUAGUGCACACAACAAAGCACAAGAGAAAUACAAUUUCUUCAUUGCACCCAAAACAACAAUCGUAGAGUCAUUUUCUUCAACCACCAAACAAGACAAGGUUCUAUAUAUAGCUCGCUUGACAUAUUCUCUUAAAUGCCUGAGGUUUCUUUUGGGUCAAGGGUUAGCUUUUCGUGGACAUGAUGAAAGAGAAGUUUCACUUAAUAAAGGUAAUUUCCUUGAGCUUCUACAUUGGCUAGCAGAGAAUUUUGAAGAAGUGAAUAAGGUGGUUCUUAAGAAUGCUCCAAAGAACAACAAAAUGAUAGCUCAUGAAAUACAAACAGACCACAUCAACUCUUGUGCCAAAGAAACUACUAGGCUUAUGAUGGAAGAGCUAGGUGAUAGUUGUUUCUCAAUACUUGCCGAUGAAUCAAGUGAUGUGUAUCUACAAGAACAAUUGGCUCUUUGUCUGCGUUAUGUUGAUAAAAUCGGAAGGGUGGUUGAGAGGUUUCUUGGUAUUUUACAUGUUGCAAACACCACAUCUUUGACACUCAAAACAGCAAUUGAGAGUUUGCUUAUGGAACAUGGUUUGACCUUCUCUAGAGUACGUGGGCAAGGGUACGAUGGUGCUAGCAACAUGAAGGGUCAUGUCAAUGGUCUAAAGAAACUAAUUAUGGAUGAGUCCCCUUCUGCCUAUUAUGUGCAUUGUUUUGCUCAUCAACUUCAGUUAUCUCUAGUUGCUGUUGCUAAGGAGAACCGUGAUUGUGUUUUGUUCUUUCAACAACUUGCUAAUCUAUUGAAUGUUCUUGGGAUGUCUUGUAAGAAGAUUAGAAUGCUUCGUGUGGCUCAAGCUGAACGGAUCAUUAAAGCAUUGGAAUUGGAGGAAAUUGAAACCGGUAAAGGCAUGAAUCAAGAGAUGGGUUUGAGUAGGCCGGGUGACACUCGUUGGGGAUCUCACCACAAAACUAUUAUGCAUAUUCUUCGCAUGUAUCCUUCAAUCCGGCUAGUUCUUAACAAGUUAGUAAGAGACCCAACUCAAAGCAAUGAGGCUAUGCUUGCUGAAACUAUGUUGACAUAUUUUGAGUCAUUUGACUUUGUUUUCAUGGCACACUUGUUGCAAACCAUAUUUGGGCACACCAAUGACUUAAGUCGUGCUUUGCAAAAGAAAGAUCAAGACAUUGUUAAUGCUGUUGAACUCAUUCAUUUGACAAAGAUUCAAUUGCAAUUGUUGAGAGAUGAUGGUGGAUGGGAAACUUUCCUUGAAGAGGUCACUUCUUAUCGUGUCAAGCAUAAAGUCAAAGUUCCUCAAAUGGGUGGUAAGUACAAGCCACCUGGAAGACCCUCAAGAUUCUACAAAAAUCUCACGAAUCUCCAUCGCUUCCAUGUUGAGAUGUUUUUGGGUCUUAUUGAUAGGCAACUUCGAGAGCUUGGAGAUAGAUUUGAUGAGGUAAACACUGAAUUACUUCAUUACAUGGGAUCAUUCAGUCCGGUAAAUUCUUUUGCUGCUUAUCAUAAGGAAAACUUGGUUAAGCUUGCGCAUCUUUAUCCCUUGGAUUUCACGGAGGAAGAUCUGAUGCAUAUUCCUUAUCAACUUACACACUUCAUUACUGAUAUGCGUAGAGAUGAGAGGUUUAGAAAGGUCAAAAACAUAGUCGACCUUUCUAUUAUGCUUGUCGAGACAAACAAGAGUGUCACUUAUAACCUUGUUUACAAGCUUCUCAAAUUGGUUCUAAUCCUACCAGUAGCAACAGCUAGUGUUGAGAGAGUGUUCUCUUCAAUGACUUAUGUGAAAAACAAGCUACGGAAUAAAAUGGGGAAUCAACUCUUGAAUGAUUGCUUGGUUACAUUUAUUGAGAGGGAAUUCUUUUUUGAAGUGAAGGAUGAUGUUGUCAUUUCUCGCUUUCAAGCCAUGACAAAGCGUAUGGUCGAGUUGUAA